GCCGGAGCCAGCCUCAAGCGGAUCCUCGAUGAACUGCAGUUUUUAACACUUCCGCAUUGGACUCAUAUUUUUAGACCGGAGGUUGGCGCUUGCCAAAAACCCAGGAAUCUCUUGCUAGCUUGCUAACUUGGAAGACUGGGCCUGUCCACAAUAAUGGUAUCUGAAGAAUAUUGGCAAUCAGAUGUCUCCACAGCUAUAGCUUGACCUGUGCUCAGGUGUAUCUCCAGGGAUGGUACAAACUGUCACAUCCCAUCUCAUCACAAUCCAUUGGCCCAUAUGUUCCUGGGGCAGGUGUCCUCCUCUUGGUCACCUUUGUGUCCCGUGACCCCCCUCCGAACCUGGAAGCUCGAGUAUACUCCAUACGGGACGAACACACCCAGCAGAGGAAGAGUCUAUUUUAGGGAAUAGUCAUAUGUUUGAAUAAUGUUGGUAUGGAUUUUUGCUUAUUUAAGCACUCUUGUGGGACAUAAUUAUCAGCAUGGAAUAUUUGAGAGCUCUGUAAGGUAAAAAG